CACUAACCUUUUUCCCACCACGGAAAAUGGAAAUUAGGGGGAUAUAUGGUUUUAUGUUAGGACACACACACAACACAUGGAGUUUGAGUCUUUUAGAAGGCAUCAAUAGUCUGUUAAUGAGACUUAUAUGGUUAGUAUGAUGGAUUGGGUGCCAAGAUUGCUUUAAGGGACACCCAGAGGCAUCCUUGGGAAGCCAUUUCACAGGAUAUGUUAGUAAGAGGUCUAGGGUUUGCUGUUAGAAGGAUUUCUGCUGGGAAGAUAGCACCUUGGAUACUUUGUACCUGCAUCUUUUCAGACUACUCCUACAGGAGCCCCUGUCAUCAAUUUUUCAUUUGUGUGAACCCCAUGUUUUUUUAAAUUUUUACUUCUAGAGUAACCUUAGGGAAGGUAGAUGACAUCUAACCCUCCAUCAAUGACUUUCUGAAUGUUACCUCUUUGACUCUUUACCUGGGGAGUCAAGCUGGCAUUUGAAAAUUGUUCACUUCUCUUUUAAAUUGUUUUUCCAAGGGUUGAUGGGAGAGGAUGGGUUCUUCUCCGUUUCCUUCAAGGAGGUUAUUUUGGAAGGCUAAGGUUCUUUAUAAAGUUAAGUCCUUCUCUUGGUAAUGCCAAGGUUAGUACUAAUGUAUACCUUUAGAGAGGAGAAAAUCUUAUUAUGUGUUGUUCCUAUUUUGCAUUUUCUAGUGCUUUUUAGUUUUGGGGUGCAUCAAUGUCACUCUUUAGCUCGGGGAUGUAUCACCCAAAUGAUGGUGAUGUCGAAUGUUAUCAAAGGCUUGACCUGUCCUCAUGGGACACUAAUUGGUUUUCAGAUGAGAUGGUCAAAGCUUGAUCUAAGAAUUGGUAUUAGAGUUAAGGAUCAUGGGUUCAAGUCACGGGAGUAUCAUGUUGGGUGAGGAAUUGUUGGGGUAUAAUGCCGCUCUUAAGCCCUAGGAUGGGUCACCCCAAUGAUGCUAAUGUCAAAUGCCAUAAAAGGCUUGACCUAUUCUCACCAGGCACCAAUAUGUUUAUAGAUGAGAUGGCCAAAGCCUGAUCCAAGAUUUAGCCUUUGGCAGUAGCUGUUUUUUUCAGUUGGUUUUGAUGGAAUGGCCCAUAGAGAAGCAUAGUUGAUUAUGGUGAUUGAACCUUGUUCUUUGGAUAGAGCAAGAGAGUCAAGGAUGCAAUGGUGUAGAUAUAUGGGAGAGGAUGAUGUUCUAUGUUUGGGUGUUAAUUACCACAGGGUUCUACAGUAUUCCUUUGAAGUUGACUUUGUUUUGAUUCAUGUUUGUGUCUAUGGUUUGCAGUGCAGGAGACUUUUGAGUUGGAUACCCCCCAACACCACCACCAAGAAGCUGAAGUCAAUUUUCAUGAAUUUGGUCAAGGGAGUUCAGUUCAGCAAAGCGUACUAGGAUUAUUAGGAAUCACAAUGGCAUUAUUAUCUUCUCCUUCUUGAUACUUGCUGAGAUUGGCUUUAAGAUUGAAGCAGAGAUUCAGAUGGAACAGAGGGUCCUGGGCUCAUGGUGAUAUGGUAUUUGAUGAGGGAGAUUAAGGAUAUUUUUCUUGAGUUUGUGUUUGUAGCUGAGGUGGAUUGCUAGAAAGCAAUUAUCAAAGGGGAUUCCUUAACCAGGAGAGGAGCUGCGAUUCUGGAGGAGUUUAGAGGAGACAUAGUUCCUAAUUGUUGUUUGGGUGGUUAAGUUGUACAUAGCCUUAGCAACUUAGUUUUUUGUUCCUUGGUAUUCAUCCUUGUUGAUAUCCAAUUCUUCAUCAUUAAAGUUUCAUUUCAUAUUGAAAAGAAUGAAGUCUUAAGACAUAAAGUAGGAUACCCUACCAACUACUACAAAACCUGUGUCGAUAUCCCGAAGCAAA